rnacentral:rRNA from 1 species
AUGGUGGCGGUGGGCGUCGGCGACGACGGCUGGGCGCGGCUCACCUCGCGCUCUGACGCCGCGGAGGGCCUGGGGCGGAGGCAGGAAUGGGAGGUGGAGUUCGCCCGCUACUUCGCUUCCCCCCUGCGCGACACCUCGACGACGACGACGACGCCGCCGCCGCCCGGCGUCCGUUACGUCACCAGCGCCACGGAUUGCCAUCCCGGCGCCUGGCUCCCCGCCGCCACGCCUGCCGCUCUUCGCGUCUCCCGCUCCAGCCACCCCUCCGCGGCCCCAGUCCUCACCGUCUCCGUCAUCGGUGUCGUCUUCGAGGAGCACUUUGUGUCUAUCCUCAACUUCUCAUGGCCUCAGCUCACAUGUGGGGGACAAUGCCCAGGAAGUGGGAGCAGGGUGCUCUUUGUGAGCUUUUGUGAUAAAUCCAAGCAGAUACAGAAGUUUGCUCUACGUUUCCCACAGCUCAGUGAUGUGGAGUCGUUCUUAAAUUGUGUGAAGGAAUGCUUAGGUGACACCAUGGAUAUUGCAUCAUCUGGAUGCGACUACAUAUGUGAAGAUUCAUCAUCACGAUCAGAAUACAUUGCUUCCAAUGAACUUCCCCACAGCUUUGAGGAGCCAGCUUCAGAUCACAGGACAGAGGCACCAGCAUUAUGCUACCAUGAGGAACCAGACCUGCCUGUUUCUGAACCUCUCCUUACUUCCAACAUUGACAAUAUCAACUCUGGUUUCCCUCUUAGUUUCACUGAAAUGCUGACAAAUUUGUCAUCUGAGACUGAAUAUGCAUUGUGCAUGUACGGAUCAGAUGCGGUGGACCUGCAUCAACUGGGUGGAACUGACCAUCCUCAAGAUGUAUUGUAUGGCGGAUCAGAUGCGGAGGACCUGCAUCAAACUGACCAUCCUCAAGAGAUAAUAUAUGGCGGAUCAGAUGCGGAGGACCUGCAUCAACUGAGUGGAACUGACCGUCCUCAAGAGGUGUUCACACAAGAUACUUGUCAUGAUGUUGCCAGUAAUGAAAAUACUGCUGAUAAAGAAACUGAUACUAGCAAGUCAACAAAAGAAAUUGAUACUAGUAAAUCAACAAGUGAUAUUAUGGCAAGGAUAAAGACAUAUAUGGCUGAUGAGUCAUUCCAUGAUAUGCUGUCCAAGCUUGAGAGAGUCAUUGAUGAACUGGGUGUGGACUUGUCAGUCUACUCCUAG